GUUCCCUAUUUGGUUCUCAGUCUUGGCUGCACACUGGAUUCCCUGGGGAGCUUUAUACAUUACUGAUCUCUGGGCUCCACCUCAAGAGAUUCUAACUUACUUGGUUUGGGUGUGACCUGGGCUUGGAGAUUUUGGAAGCUCCCUAGAGAGUCAGAAGUGCAGCCAGGGUCAAGAACAACUGUUAGUUUGUGUGUUUUUUUGAAUGCCGGUGUGUCUGAUGAAAGUUCUGAGUGGUCACAGUCCCUCUUUAGAAUCCCAUGGGAGUGGGGGCGAUGCAGAAACCCACUCAGCAGCUCUACAUUUUUCCUCAGUGUUGGGGUCAGAUAGCUGUUUUCUUACUGAAGAACAGAUGCCAUUACUGGAUUGCUUUUAGGGGCCAAGACAUAUGAAAUGCAUAUCUUGGAAUCGAAGAGUCACACUCCCAGGGUGAGAUGCUCUUCUCACUCCCAGGGUGAGAUGCCACACCCCCACACAUGGAAGCACCUGCUCUUUCACAUCCCUCUCCUCUCCCACUUUCCCUCGUUCAUUCCUGUUCUUUCUUUAGAUCUCAGCCUGAUGCUCACUUCCUCCUGGAAGCCUCCUCUGACCACCCACCUCCAGGAUUUGUGGACUUCGGUAUUUCAACGUGGGGGCCUAGGCUCUAUGUGUAGGAUAUUUGGGGUGCUGCAGCUUCAGCAGGCAGCUCUACAGGCAUGCUCCCUGCCCUCUUGAAACCUGCAAUCUGGGGACGGACUCCUGUUCACACCUGACCUAGGCUCUCUCAGAAAUAGUUGAUGAAUCUUAUGAGACCAUCUGAUCUCUGGCUCUCAUCAGUGGUGUGUCAGGGCCGGGCACAGUUGCUCAUGCCUGUAAUCCCAGUGCCUUGGGAGGCUGAAACAGAAGGAUUAAUUGAGACCAGGAGUUUGAGACCAGCCUGGGCGACAUGGCCAGACCCAGUCUCUAAAAAAGCAAAUUUAAUUUUUUAAUAAAGCAAAAACAAAAUUAAAAUUAGAACAAAGAAAUAAAAAACAAAAAACAGUAGGCCAGGAUGAAUCAAGGACGAGACGAGCAGAAGAGAGGCAUGCAGGCAGCGGGGGCCUCGUGGGUCAGCAUGCCCGGAUCACACCAGCCUUGGGAAACUCUAAUGAAGACAGGUGUUACAGGUUACUGAGUCCAGCCUGGUCUUUUCGACGACAUCAGGGCCCGAUAGGAGCAAAUACAGCUCAACUAGUGGAAGCCAAGGGGGACAUCUGUGGGUGUGGAACAAAGCCAAUGAGUAUGGCCACAAGCUUUCUUAACAUCUCGGAGGUCUAUGAUGACGUUUUGUGGUGUUUUCCAUACCACACAACCAAAAUCCUAUUAAACCAAGGAGAAAGCAGAUUCUCGCCUGCGUCCUGAAGAGUGAAUCUGAGCAGAUAUAGGAAUCUUUCUGGGGUGAGUGACAUCUCUCUGGGGUAGUGAUCCACAGGUUUCUUUUGCUGAAUGUUAAGUAACUUCUUGGAGCCUCCAUUUCCUUUGUGUCCUCAACAUCACACAAAAGGAAUGUGGAAGUGUAGGAGCGGGAGGCAGCCAGCCGCUGCAGAGCAGGCACUAAAGCAGCACAAAACAAGACCUUACUGAUGAACCCUGGGUGUCUUGGAGUGGGUCUGUGUGAGAACAGGUAAGCCUGGGAAACUGGAGGCAGGUGUUGAUUUCAGCAUGAGCCAGCUCCUCAGAUGCUUAUGAUCCUGUGAUUAUGAGCUUCUCAUCAGCCACAGACUCCUUUGAAAACCUAUGGCUUCUCUCCCCAUAUGCUACAGUGAACAAUUUAAGGGGAUCUUUGAAUCAUUGCAGGACAAUCAUGGGUCCCUGGUGGUUCCUAGAAAGCAAACCUUACUGUGUGUAGUCCACUGAGGGAACUGAAAUAUGGUAUACAUUGCAAUUAUUCCUGUUAAAGAAGCUCAUAAUAAUAAAAAUCAAGGGUUGGCAAACUUCCUUAAAGGAUCAGAGAGUAAAUAUUUUUUGGUUUUGUGUACCAUACAGUCUGUUGUUGCAACUGCCCAGCCCGUCAUGGCAGUGUGAAGACGGCCACAGGCAACGCAUAAGUGAACGGGCAUGGUUCUGGGUUCCAAUAAAACUUCCCUUUCAAGAGCAGGCAGUGGGCCAAAUCUUGCUCUUGGGCUACAGUUUUCCUACCCCUGAUAAUAGCAUAAUAGUGUUUAGGAACAAACACUCACCAUGAGUCAGGAGCUGAGCUAUGUGUUUAUGUUAUUAUCCACAUUUCACAGAGGAGGAAUCAGUUUCAGAGAGGUUUCAUAGCUUGCCCAAGAUCACACCGCUAGUAACUGAUGGAGCAGAAAUUCUUAUUUCAUUGCUUUGUUCCUAAGAAAUGCAACUAUCUUGCAUGUUCUGCACAUGUACCCCAAAACCUAAAAUGCAAUAAAAAAAGUAUUAUGAAGAUGUGAUGAUAGUGUUAUUAAAUUAUUAUAUCAACUAAUAAUACAUAAUAAGAACAUUUUUUGAGAGCCUUCUCUGUGCUGAGAACUAUGCUAAGUGCCUCAUAUGGUGCUAAUGUCUGAGUGUUGUGUGUCCCUUCAAAAAUUCAUAUGUUUCAAAUCACCACCCCCAAGCUGAGAGUAUUAGGAGGUGAGGACUUUUGGGAGGUUACUCUGUUGUCUUGAUUAGGAUUAGUGCCCUUAUACCAGAGACCCCAGAGAGGACCUCUCCAACUCUGACAUGAAGUUACAGUGAAAAGAUGGCUGUCUACCUGGGACCCCUGAGCAAAUAAACUCAGUCCCAAGGUAGUCUUCCAUUACCUUGACCUUGGAUUUCCCAGCCUCUAGAACUGUGAGAAAUAAAUGUUUGUUAUUAGCCACCCAGUUAUGAUAUUUUGUCAGAGCAGCCCAAAUGGAUGAAGGCAUACACAUUAACACAAAUCAUCCCACCACAACCUGCUAUUGCUGUUAUUACCUCCAUCAGGGAACUGAGGCACAGAGAGGUUAAGCCACUUGCCUUAGGUCACACAGCUGGCAAGUAUGAAGGCAGGAUUCAAACCUACACUGUGCCCCCCUCCAAGUUGCUAUUGUGAAGCCCACACAGGCUGCAAUAAUAUUCCAUUUAUCACCUGAUAGGACUUGGGCCAUGACCAAUAACAGUGUAGCCCUAUAUGAGGAUUCUGGGCUCCCAGCUAGCUGGCAAUACCCCUUUAGUUCCUGGAUCAUGGGCUAGUUCUAGGAGACGACCUUGUGUAGCUGGGGUUUAACCAACUGAUCAGGAAACAUAUAUAUACACCACACACACACACACACACACACACACACACGCACACACACAUAUGGUGCAGUGGUGUGAUCUCAGCUCACUGCAACCUCUACCUCCUGGGUUCUAGCAAUUCUCCUGCCUCAGCCUUCCGAGUAUCUGGGACUGCAGGUGUGUACCACCACACCCAGCUAAUUUUUGCAUUUUUUAGUAGAGAUGGGGGUUUCACCAUAUUGGCCAGGCUUGUCUUAAACUGCUGACCUCAUAAUCUGCCUGUCUUGGUCUCCCAAAAUGCUGGGAUUACAGAUGCGAGCCACCACGCUCGGCCUAGGAAAUAUUUUAAUAUUUACAAAACUGGUAUAACUCUCCUAGCUGUGCUGCUAUAAGGUGAGGGAGGCCUCCUGGGUGGUGGGAUGUGUGGAUGAGCAGAGCAGGAGGCCCGGGCAUCAGGUCCCUAGCGCAGAUGCUAGUAGAGGGGAUCCGAGGCCUGGGACCCCUGAGCAAAUAAACUCAGUCCCUGGGUGUCACCCAACCUGCCCAGGGCCAGGGCCCCCACUCCUCCCAUCUCUCUGCAGAGGCAGCAGCCUGAGUCCUGAGUCAGAGGCUCCCAUAGGAAAAU
rnacentral:lncRNA from 1 species